rnacentral:rRNA from 1 species
CCCUUAGAUGUUCUGGGCCGCACGCGCGCUACACUGAUGCAUUCAACGAGCCUAUCCUUGACCGACAGGUCCGGGUAAUCUUUGAAUCUGCAUCGUGACGGGGAUAGAUUAUUGCAAUUAUUAAUCUUCAACGAGGAAUGCCUAGUAGGCGCAAGUCAUCAGCUUGCGUCGAUUACGUCCCUGCCCUUUGUACACACCGCCCGUCGCUCCUACCGAUUGAGCGAUCCGGUGAAUGUUUUGGACUGGUGUCCGCAAGCGUUUCGCUUCGGACGCUACGAAAUUUUGUAAACCUUAUCGCUUAGAGGAAGGAAAAGUCGUAACA